AUAAAAUGAUUCCUUUGCAUCAUCAGAUGAGAAGUUUUCUCCUCUUCUGUUAGAACAUGACUUGAUUUUGGUUUUGCAUUGUAAACAUCCACUCACAAUGCUCCAAAAUUUUUUCCCUUAACUUUGCAUGUUUCCCCUCUUUUCAAAGACAACUGCAAGGCAUGGGUCAGCAGAACGAUAUCUACCAUACAGGCGGCUUAAGCUGCCAGAUGCAAUGGGAGCUACUGGCACAAGCAGGAUGAUGCUGCAGCUCACUAUGAGACUGGGUGGCUCGCAACUAUGGCUUGAUGAGAUGGCAUCUCCAGUAACCCAAUAGGUGGGAGUGCGAGCAGGUUGGUGCUUCACUGAAGGAAAGACUCCAAGGAAUUAACUUUUUGGUAGCUAUAUGAGGAAACUUGGUAAAAAGUCAUCAUCUUCUGAAUGGUGAUUUCAUAGAAUUGAAAGCUUCUAAAAGAAACUGGGGAAGUUUUGAAGUACUGCCUCUGGAUACAACUUUAUUCUUGAAGCAACUUACUACUUCUCAACAAGAAAUUCAUCUGUUGAACUGUUCUGCUGUUUGUUCUCAGACCAGCUCAGCUUACUAGGAAGAAACAGUCUGUCAUGUGUGGUUCCUGUGACCAAGAUGUGCAAUCAAACUGGAGCAGUAAUGAAGACAAAUCGCGCAAGAACAUUCUGCAGAGCCCAUGAGUUGAUGUAUAUUUGAAUAAUAUAGCUUAUCAAA
rnacentral:lncRNA from 7 species